ACUACGGGAGGCAGCAGUGAGGAAUAUUGGUCAAUGGGCGCGAGCCUGAACCAGCCAAGUCGCGUGAGGGAAGACGGUCCUAUGGAUUGUAAACCUCUUUUGUCGGGGAGCAAAAGACGCCACGCGUGGCGUUCCGAGAGUACCCGAAGAAAAAACAUCGGCUAACUCCGUGCCAGCAGCCGCGGUAAUACGGGGGAUGCGAUCGUUAUCCGGUUUUAUUGGUUUUAAAGGGUGCGCAGGCGGAAGACAAAGUCAGCGGUAAAAUUGAGAGGCUCAACCUCUUCGAGCCGUUGAAACUGGUUUUCGUGAGUGAGUGAGAAGUAUGCGGAAUGCGUGGUGUAGCGGUGAAAUGCAGAGAUAUCACGCAGAACUCCGAUUGUGAAGGCAGCAUACCGGCGCUCAACUGACGCUCAUGCACGAAAGUGUGGGUAUCGAACAGGAUUAGAUACCCUUGUAGGC
rnacentral:rRNA from 1 species